rnacentral:RNase_P_RNA from 1 species
CCAGACGGCCGGGCAGCCGCUGUCGUGAUCCAAUCACGAUGGAGGAAAGUCCGGGCUCCACGGAACAACGGUGCCGGCUAACGGCCGGCGGGGGCGACCCCAGGGAUAGUGCCACAGAAAACAAACCGCCCGCGCGCGCAAGCCCGCAGGCAAGGGUGAAACGGUGCGGUAAGAGCGCACCGCGCGACCGGUAACGGUCGCGGCAGGGUAAACCCCACCGGGAGCAAGACCGAAUAGGGGUGGCCGGCGGCGUGAGCAAUCAUGGCCGCAGGGAUGUUUCGGCCCGCCGCCCGGGUUGGUCGCGCGAGGUGCGCAGCAAUGCGCAUCCCAGAGGAAUGGCUGCCCCGUGCGGCAACGCACGGACAAAACCCGGCUUACAGGCCGUCUGGUAUU